AGGACGAACGCUGGCGGCGUGCUUAACACAUGCAAGUCGAACGAGGCCCUACCUUCGGGUAGGUGACCUAGUGGCGAACGGGUGAGUAACACGUGGGCAACCUACCCUCAGCUCUGGGAUAACCCCGGGAAACCGGAGCUAAUACCGGAUAUGACCUAGAACGACAUCGUUCUUGGUGGAAAGUUUUUCGGCUGAGGAUGGGCCCGCGGCCUAUCAGCUUGUUGGUGGGGUAAUGGCCCACCAAGGCGACGACGGGUAGCCGGCCUGAGAGGGCGAUCGGCCACACUGGGACUGAGACACGGCCCAGACUCCUACGGGAGGCAGCAGUGGGGAAUAUUGCGCAAUGGGCGAAAGCCUGACGCAGCGACGCCGCGUGAGGGAUGAAGGCCUUCGGGUUGUAAACCUCUUUCAGCAGGGACGAAGCGAAAGUGACGGUACCUGCAGAAGAAGCACCGGCAACUACGUGCCAGCAGCCGC
rnacentral:rRNA from 1 species